rnacentral:rRNA from 1 species
UGCCAGCAGCCGCGGUAAUACGAAGGGACCUAGCGUAGUUCGGAAUUACUGGGCUUAAAGAGCACGUAGGUGGUUAGAAAAGUUGGUGGUGAAAUCCCAGGGCUUAACCCUGGAACUGCCACCAAACUUUUUAACUAGAGUAUGAUAGAGGUAAGCGGAAUUUCUAGUGUAGAGGUGAAAUUCGUAGAUAUUAGAAAGAACACCAAUUGCGAAGGCAGCUUUCUGGAUCAUUACUGACACUGAGGUGCGAAAGCAUGGGUAGCGAAGAGGAUUAGAUA